rnacentral:rRNA from 1 species
UACGUAGGCAGCGAGCGUUGUUCGGAGUUACUGGGCGUAAAGGGUGUGUAGGCGGUUGUUUAAGUUUGGUGUGAAAUCUCCCGGCUCAACUGGUAGGGUGCGCCGAAUACUGAAUGACUUCGAGUGCGGGAGAGGAAAGUGGAAUUCCUGGUGUAGCGGUGAAAUGCGUAGAUAUCAGGAGGAACACCGGUGGUGUAGACGGCUUUCUGGACCGUAACUGACGCUGAGACACGAAAGCGUGGGUAGCAAACAGG